AACGAACGCUGGCGGCAUGCCUAACGCAUGCAAGUCGAACGAGAUCUUCGGGUCUAGUGGCGCACGGGUGCGUAACGCGUGGGAAUCUGCCCUUUGGUUCGGAAUAACAGUUGGAAACGACUGCUAAUACCGGAUGAUGACGAAAGUCCAAAGAUUUAUCGCCAGAGGAUGAGCCCGCGUAGGAUUCGCUAGUUGGUGUGGUAAGGGCGCACCAAGGCGACGAUCCUUAGCUGGUCUGAGAGGAUGAUCAGCCACACUGGGACUGAGACACGGCCCAGACUCCUACGGGAGGCAGCAGUGGGGAAUAUUGGACAAUGGGCGAAAGCCUGAUCCAGCAAUGCCGCGUGAGUGAUGAAGGCCUUAGGGUUGUAAAGCUCUUUUACCCGGGAUGAUAAUGACAGUACCGGGAGAAUAAGCUCCGGCUAACUCCGUGCCAGCAGCCGCCGUAA
rnacentral:rRNA from 1 species